GUGAGGAAUUUUGCGCAAUGGGGGCAACCCUGACGCAGCAACGCCGCGUGAGUGAAGAAGGCCUUUGGGUCGUAAAGCUCUGUCAAUCGGGAAGAAAUUACAAGAGUCGAACAGGCUUUUGUAUUGACGGUACCGGUGAAGGAAGCAUCGGCUAACUCCGUGCCAGCAGCCGCGGUAAUACGGGGGAUGCAAGCGUUAUUCGGAAUUAUUGGGCGUAAAGGGCGCGUAGGCGGUUUUGUCGGUCAGAUGUGAAAGCCCAGGGCUCAACCCUGGACGUGCAUUUGAAACAGCAAGACUUGAGUACGGGAGAGGAAAGCGGAAUUCCUGGUGUAGAGGUGAAAUUCGUAGAUAUCAGGAGGAACACCGAUGGCGAAGGCAGCUUUCUGGACCGAUACUGACGCUGAGGCGCGAAGGCGUGGGUAGCGAACAGGAUUAGAAACCCCGGUAGUCC
rnacentral:rRNA from 1 species